CGCGCAGGCGGUCUGUUAAGUCAGAUGUGAAAGCCCACGGCUUAACCGUGGAAGUGCAUUUGAAACUGGCAGACUUGAGUAUCAGAGGGGAAGGUGGAAUUCCCGGUGUAGAGGUGAAAUUCGUAGAUAUCGGGAGGAAUACCGGUGGCGAAGGCGACUUUCUGGCUGAAUACUGACGCUGAGGCGCGAAAGCGUGGGGAGCAAACAGGAUUAGAUACCCUGGUAGUCC
rnacentral:rRNA from 1 species